UACGGAGGGUGCAAGCGUUAUCCGGAUUCACUGGGUUUAAAGGGUGUGUAGGCGGGUCGUUAAGUGUCUUGUGAAAUCCCCCGGCUCAACCGGGGAAUGGCUGGGCAUACUGGCGAUCUUGAGCAGUCUAGGGGCAGAUGGAACAAGUGGUGGAGCGGUGAAAUGCGUAGAUAUCACUUGGAACGCCAAAGGUGAAAACAGUCUGCUGGGGACUUGCUGACGCUGAGACACGAAAGCCAGGGGAGCGAACGGG
rnacentral:rRNA from 1 species